UGCAGAAUCCCGUGAACCAUCGAGUCUUUGAACGCAAGUUGCCCCCGAAGCCUUUAGGCCGAGGGCACGCCUGCCUGGGCGUCA
rnacentral:rRNA from 2 species